rnacentral:lncRNA from 1 species
GGGGCUGGGGAGAUCAGCAAAGCAUGAGAGGGCAAUGGGGAGCCAGGGUGAGCAUUUCAAAAUACCAGACAGCAGUGCUCAGACCUAUGAGUCUUGCAGAGGCCCAUGCCAGAGCUUCCCUGGGAACAGAAAAAUCUAAACCAGGUUGCAAAUAGUCACUUCUGCUCUCUCAAGCUACAGCCCACAGACUGGGACAAAAGUAUCACUGUAAGCUCCCUAGCUCCUGCCAAGCAAGAAAAGACAGCUCCUUCCUUAGUGGAUGUCCACCAUCCUCUAGGAAGGAAACCCAUCUGAAGUGCCCUCCUGCUUCCUACAACAGUCUCUCCAUUGGUGUGAUUCUCACCUACCACUCCCUUCUAAUUUUACUUUCCCUUCCAAGUUUGAGGGAAAAUCCAGAAAGGACUGAACUAUUUCUGCCUGGUUGUAGUGCUGAGCAAAGUCACAAGAGAGCCUUCCCAGAGCCAGGAAUUCAGUUCUAAGGUCUGUGUGCUACCACUUGCUAGUGGGCAUGAGGCUUUUGAGGCUGUUCAUCUGGAUAGAUCAUCCAUAAAUUUGUGAAUGGUCCAAUCCCAGUGAGAGAGUCUAGAAUUUGACAAAUAUUCAUUGUAUGGUCAUACAUUGAGAAUCUACUUUGUGCUUGUGCAUGUGUGUGUGUGUGUGUGUUUAAAUAAGGAACAAGUACACAAACACAUUGUCCCUGUCAUCAAAGCAUAUCAGGAGGGGUGUAACUUCAGCUAGGGCUUAAGAGCUUUCCUAAAUGGAUCCUUAAGCAGAAGAAGAUAAAAUGGAACCCAUUCCGAGGGAGACAGAAGAACCCAAAAGAUGUACCAGAGAUACCAAGCCCUAGGCCGGACUAGAGUUGGUACGUUCACCAACAAGGCACUGAAGGUCCUGGCCACAGUAAGGAGAUAGAAGGCAAGGGGACUGGGAGAUGCUUACAGCUUUGAAAACCAUAGGAAGGAAUUUGGGGGUUGUUGUCAGCUAUUCCCAUCAGUACCUGGUAUAUCAACCUAUGGGUAUUUAUGGCACCCAAUUUGCAGGGCAGCUAAGCUUCAUAACUUUCUCUUCUUCAAAGCUUUAAGCCAAGCUAAGGCUAAUUAUGAGCUGAUUCCACUCUUUAAAGAGCCAGUAGAAUAUUUUCUUAUCCCUUCAUGCCAUGUAGCUACUUUAUAUGGUCCACAGUGACAGACAGGCAUUUGUGUUUGAUGAAAUGUCAAGAGGGGAGAAAUAAAAGAACCCGAUCCUCUUUGUAAAAAAGAGUGGCCUUCGGGCAUCCUGCAUUAACCGUUCGGCUGUUGAGCCUGUUAUUAAACUUUAUGGACCAUAAGCCCCACAGACACAAGGCGAGGGAACAGCCAUGUUAUUACAUGAGUGUCCCAACCAGGCCUGUACUGCCUGCCUUAGAGCACUCAUCUAGCUUCUCCGUUGGCCCUGGGAAGAACUCAGUGGCACAUGAAGGCUUUCAGGGAAAGACAUUCCUCUUAAAUGCAAGCUCACUUUCAGGAAUCUGGACCCAGGAUCAUGUGACACCUGGCUCUGCUGACUCCACUAGCAUGCCUCUUGCCAGGAUCUGAUAGGUCAGUUUUCAAACACUUGUCUCUUAUUUCGAGUGAGAAUAAGGUUAUUCUAUGGGUCCAUUUACUCCAGAUAUAGAGUCAGGCAAAUAGGCAUGCCAUGCCACCCAUACCCAAGUCAGUGGCUGUUGAGAAGAAAUACCAACUGCUAUUUACCUUGCAUAGGAAGAGCCAAGACAUUCACUUAAUAAAUAAGAUUCUGUGCUUGUUGCAAUGAUAUUUCUAACUUUCAUCUUCUUUAUACAUCCAGAGAUACAGUGUCAUUUCAACUUUAUAGUAAUGUCAACAUUCUCAGAUACAGAUGCAUUCGAUCUAAUAGUCCAAGAAAUCCUCAUAUCAAGAAUUUACGCCAUUUUAUUGCUGUUGUUUAUCAAAGUGGUCACCCCUGGUGUUUCUGCAAAUAUUUCUCCCUUCUCUGUCUGGGGAUAACAAGUCUCUGGCCCUUUUGAAGUCAAGCACAGGCGCAUCUCCUUGUAUCAAGGUGUGAAUGAAAGUAUCACCUUAAGGAAGAUAUUUAAAAGACAAAGUGUGGCGAUUCACUCUUGUCUAUAACAAAGAAUCACUGAUAUCUGUAAUUGUGUGGCUGUGAGCUCUCCCUGCGAGCUGUUCCUCCAUCAUCUUGGGGGGCCCUAAUGCCCACCUGUUUACAGCUACAGUGUAACCGACCAUUAAGCUUUUACUGUGUCAAGUCCCUGAAGGAGGUGUGGUGAUCACAUUGGAUGAUCCUCCCACCUCCGCCCUCCCACCGCCUACCACCCACCCCGUUGACUAAAGCCACCAAAGGGAGGGAGGAUUUGCUUUGACUCACAGGUCGAGAUGGGAAUGUUAUGGUGGCAGGAGCUUGAGCCAGCCUCUCACGGUCCACCAUAAUCAGAGAACAGAGAGUGAUGGAUGCCAGUCCUCACCUCAUCUUUUCCUAUUUAGUCAGUACCACCGCCUAAGGUACUGCCUGAUCAGACAUUAUGGCAGGUCUUCCUGCCUCAGGUAUCCUAAUCUAUAUGACGAGUCACAGGUGUGUCCAGAAUCUUGCUACUUUGGUGAUUCCUCUAGAUCCUGUCAAGUAGAUAAUCAACAUUAACCACCAGAGGGACUAUUCUUCUCUGCAGCAAAAUGUUGCCCAUCCUUCCAGGGAUAAGAUAUGGCAUUCUGUGCUGGGACAUACAUAGGCCUCUUAUGUCUAGCCCAACAUAGGCAUUCUCAAGAUAAAUAGCAUGGGAACAUGCUCUCAUUCCAUUCGCCUUUAUAACAAAUCACAGCAUUUGUAAAAUAUAUCCUCAUUUUUUUAAGU